UACGGAGGAUGCGAGCGUUAUCCGGAUUUAUUGGGUUUAAAGGGUGCGUAGGCGGACUGUCAAGUCAGCGGUAAAAUUGAGAGGCUCAACCUCUUCCCGCCGUUGAAACUGGUGGUCUUGACUGGAUGAGAAGUACGCGGAAUGCGUGGUGUAGCGGUGAAAUGCAUAGAUAUCACGCAGAACUCCGAUUGCGAAGGCAGCGUACCGGCAUCCAACUGACGCUGAGGCACGAAAGCGUGGGGAUCAAACAGG
rnacentral:rRNA from 1 species